ANAGUUUGAUACUGGCUCAGAACGAACGUUGGCGGUAUGCUUAACACAUGCAAGUCGUACGUGAAAGCUUCCUUCGGGAAGUAAGUAAAGUGGCGCACGGGUGAGUAACACGUGGAUAAUCUGCCCAGUAAUCCGGGAUAACAUCUCGAAAGAGAUGCUAAUACCUGAUAAGCCCACGAUCUCUUCGGAGAACGCGGGAAAAGGUGGGGACCUUCGGGCCUGCCGUUACUGGAUGAGUCCGCGGCCCAUUAGCUAGUUGGUAGGGUAAUGGCCUACCAAGGCUACGAUGGGUAGCUGGUCUGAGAGGAUGAUCAGCCACACUGGAACUGAGACACGGUCCAGACUCCUACGGGAGGCAGCAGUGGGGAAUUUUGCGCAAUGGGCGGAAGCCUGACGCAGCAAUACCGCGUGAGUGAUGAAGGCUUUCGGGUCGUAAAGCUCUGUCAAGUGGGAAGAAAAUGCACGGUAUUAAUACCAUCGUGCACUGACGGUACCACUGAAGGAAGCACCGGCUAACUCCGUGCCAGCAGCCGCGGUAAUACGGGGGGUGCAAGCGUUAUUCGGAAUUAUUGGGCGUAAAGGGCGCGUAGGCGGCCUCUUAAGUCAGAUGUGAAAGCCCGGGGCUCAACCCCGGAAGUGCAUUUGAAACUAAGGGACUUGAGUAUGGGAGAGGGAAGUGGAAUUCCUGGUGUAGAGGUGAAAUUCGUAGAUAUCAGGAGGAACACCGGUGGCGAAGGCGACUUCCUGGACCAAUAC
rnacentral:rRNA from 1 species